CUGGGUGUCGGAGCGCAAGGGGGGUGUAGAGCAGCGAGCAUGAAAGGGGGUUAGGCGAGCGGAGCGGAGAGGAGAGGAGUUGGCGGCGAGGCGGGGGGCGCGGCGGAGGACGAGGCCGAGGCCGCUCUACAGAGCGAAGCCCGCGAGGCCGGGCGGCGGCUAGGCGCUGUGGAUGAGGGAGGAGCAGGAGUUGUAGUGGAAGGCAUGGUGGCGGCUACUGGAAAAGGGCGAGAAGCUGUUCAUGCCGCUCCAGCAGCUGUAGAUGUAGGGAUCCCUGGCGUCCUGACCGCUGAGCGCUCCCAAACGGAAGCACUCCAUGUUCAUACUCCUGCUCCGCGUCUUCCGUCAACUAGCGGACCUACCCUCCAACCACCUACCCUCCCUCUACUACCACGUCAAACGGUUCAUGCCGGGUUUACGACUCGCCUAAGUCUUUCCCUCUUAGUACCUUUGACAGGGCUUCGGUUCCCCAGCAAGGUCUUCGGCGUCAGGUUCUGCCCCCAUGGCCCUACUAGUAGCCCCGUCUCUAAGAUCUUCCGCUUCAGCCUCAGCCUCACCUCUAUCUAUACCUGCACUGUCCAUGUCUCUCUCCCUAGUAGUAGCAGCAUCGUCCUCAGAAUCGCGAUCAGGACUACUAAUGUUCUCCGCACCGUCUCUGUCUUCAGGAUCAGCAUCGUCCUCGGCGUCGAUGUCAGGACUACUACUGUCCUUCCCACCGUCUCUGUCAAACAGCGGACGUGCGUCUUCGUGAUCAGCGAGGGGAGCGUUCUGUGGUGGAGGAGCGUUCUGUGGUGGAGGAGCGCUCCCCAGAGGACGAUCCGCGUUACUACUGGCCAGAGGACAACCCGCGUUACUACUGGCCAGAGGACAAUCCGCGUUGCUACUGGCCAGAGGUCCGAGAGCAUCGGGAAGUUGUACUCGACUUACAGUUUGUUGACUCCUAGGUACCUUGUCUCGACGAGUAUAGCUUCCGACAAGUCAACGAAAUAGUACUUGUUAGAAGACAAUGUUUAAAUUCUACAACACCACGAACUGUAGUCACUGAUGUUCGAUGUCUACGACGAUACACCUACAGACCUAUGAACAAUCUUGAUAUAAAUGUACUACACCACUUCUCCACGACCAACUAUUUCCCACUUGUGUGUUCAACGAACGACAACGGCAACUAUAACAAACACGACAUGGGGAAUUACUACUACUACGACCACUGCCUCUACUACUACCACUACGACCACCCCCAACUACUGCGACCACUAGUAAAACGACGUACGUGAGAACAAUACGACUGUUCAUUCCAAGUUUACUAGGUCGACUCCAAGUGACGAAUUCGACAAGUAGUUAUUAUUUUGAUGAGGCCAAGUACAAAGAGGCACGAUCCUAAACUUUUUUAACAAAAAAAAGCAGUUCAGAGGAGUGUACUAAAUACAAUAUACGUUGGGGGUCUUGUAUAAAAAUUGUUUUCCCACCAACACACAAGAAGGCAACAAUCAAGACCGGAUUUAUUUAAGACUCUACUACUAUGUCAGAACUUUUUAUUCACUUGAGUCUUCAAUCGUGUUAUGGAAUAAUAUGGUAAAGCUUUCGAUAAUACAUGUAUGUAUCGUUACGUUUAUGAGAAUUACACGACUGGAUCAAUUAAAAAUCAUAGAAUCCUAAUACAUACCAAAUAUCUCUAGUAGUACAAACCGUCAACUACGAGGUUCAAAUGUCAAUGACAUUCGCACACCAUCGAAGAACCGAACAUUGGUCAAACACCCUGAAGAAAAGAAGUAUAAUACUGAGGACAUAUGUAGAAAAGACUUUUUUGAAAUGUUGAGAAUUGUGGAACGCGUUAUCUUCCACACACCAUCCACAAAAGGUAACGUCUGACUUAAUACAGUCCCACACACCAUCCACAAAAGUUAACGUCUGACUUAAUACAGUCGAGGUUCCGGACGACGGGACAUCUGCACGAGUACGCUUACGACUGCAUGCUAGUACACCGCUACCGCCGGGAUACUUUUCUUGGAAGCGAGGUACUAAAUACAUAAAGUAUUAUGUAUUUUCACAUUACAUACUAUUGAAACAUAAAUAGUAAAGCAUGUGUUAACUUUUAAGGCCCUUUCUUGAACGCGACUAAAACAAACUAACAUGAUACCCGAUGAAACGAGUAACCGCUCACAAACAACGAACAAACAUAUGAA
rnacentral:rRNA from 1 species